rnacentral:lncRNA from 1 species
UCCCCGGCCCCCCCCCCCCAGCCAGCCCACCCACCUGCCCAGGCCCCGCCCCUGCCCUCCAGGCCCCAAGCUCACAGCCCCAGGCCCCGCCCAUACCUGUGUAGGGCAGGAGGCAGUUGCAUUUGUACCCUGCCACGUCAUCGAUACACGUGCCCUGGUUCAGACACGGGUUGGACGCACACUCGUUGACGUCCUGCCUGCACGUGGGGCCGUGGAAGCCGGGCGGGCAGUGGCAGAUAUACGACGCCUCAAAGGGCAGGCACUGGCCACCGUUGGCACAGGGGUUGGAGGCGCAGGGGUCGGCCUGCUGGCACGUCUUCCCUGGGGGGGCAGGGGGCGGGGGGUGGUUAGCCGGCCUCCCUGGUUCCUAUGAGCUGGAGGCAGCGUCCAGACCUGGAGUCGGGCAUGGGCCCAGUGGCAUCAGCUCCUCACCACCCAGGGACCCCAACCACUUAGGGGCUGAGUGACCACUGGGGAUGCAACAGUAGGCCUGGCCCCCUGGGGAGCUGACCCAGACUGCGUCCCUUCUGAGCCAGCGGUGACACCACGGCUCCUGCAGGGGCCGGGGGAGUCUCCUCUUUUCUCACAGAGGCUGCGGCGGGGGGGGUGCCCUCGAGCUGGGAACUGACGCCUCCAGGGCUGGAAAGUGGCAUGGGGACCCCAGAGCGGGGACUCUAGGCGAUUUCUGGGUCGCUGACCCCCACAGCCGAGCCCAG